rnacentral:rRNA from 1 species
AUUGAACGCUGGCGGCAGGCUUAACACAUGCAAGUCGAGCGAGCGGCGGACGGGUGAGUAAUGUAUGGGAAACUGCCUUAUGGAGGGGGAUAACUACUGGAAACGGUAGCUAAUACCGCAUACCAUUCGAUGUUCCCAUAGGGGAUUAGCUAGUAGGUGGGGUAAUGGCUCACCUAGGCGACGAUCCCUAGCUGGUCUGAGAGGAUGACCAGCCACACUGGAACUGAGACACGGUCCAGACUCCUACGGGAGGCAGCAGUGGGGAAUAUUGCACAAUGGGCGCAAGCCUGAUGCAGCCAUGCCGCGUGUGUGAAGAAGGCCUUCGGGUUGUAAAGCACUUUCAGCGAGGAGGCGGUACUCGAAGAAGAAGCACCGGCUAACUCCGUGCCAGCCGCCGCGGUAAUAC